rnacentral:misc_RNA from 1 species
UUAUCAUUUAGAGGAAGGAGAAGUCGUAACAAGGUUUCCGUAGGUGAACCUGCGGAAGGAUCAUUGUCGAUGCCUCACAAUCAGUUUGAUCGUUGAAUUUGUUUACUUACGAAAGGAAGGAAGAUUUGUCUUUCCUUUUUGUCAGGAGGAGGGGGUCGUGCUUUCUUCUCCUGGCAAAACUCAAACCCCGGCACUUUGUGUGCCAAGGAAUUGAAAACUUUUAUGUGUGAUCCUUGAGAAGGUCAGAGAUGGCGCCUCUCACGGGUUAGUCAUGAUGCAUAAUGCAAAAUGACUCUCGGCAACGGAUAUCUCGGCUCUUGCAUCGAUGAAGAACGUAGCGAAAUGCGAUACUUGGUGUGAAUUGCAGAAUCCCGUGAACCAUCGAGUCUUUGAACGCAAGUUGCGCCCGAUGCCAUUAGGUUGAGGGCACGCCUGCCUGGGUGUCACACAUCGUUACUCUCUUGUGCCUCGUGCAAAUAUCAGAAGAUGUUUGCCAAAUGGGGUAGGUGCAAGUUGGCUUCCUAUGAGCUUUGUCUUGUGGUUGGCUGAAAUUUGAGUUUGUGGUUGAGCGUGUCCUGAUAAAAUGGUGGAUGGGUAUUUUGCUCGAGAGACCAGUUGUGCGCGUCUCAACCUGUGUUUGACUCGUGACCCAUAAACACGUCCACGGAUGUUUCAUAGCGAGACCUCAGGUCAGGCGGGGUUACCCGCUGAGUUUAAGCAUAUC